CACAUAGGCCAUAGCGUUUCCUCUCCCACUGUAGUACUGUACCAUCUUCGUCCCCGCCGGCGCCGGCAGCCAUGUCCAUGCUCCUUGUCCAGAAACAACACCUCCCUCUCUCCGUCCGUCCCCGCACGACCGUCACUCUCCUCUCCUUGCGCCACCAAUGCCGUCUCCCCACGACUCGAUUCUCCGCCGCCGCCGCCGAAUCGGCUAGCCGCGCUGCCCCCUUCGCCGUCGAGGACUACCUCGUCGCCACAUGCCACCUCACCCCGGCGCAGGCGCUCAAGGCCUCCAAGGUGCUCUCGCACCUCAAGUCCCCCUCCAGACCCGACGCCGUGCUCGCCUUCCUCUCGGACCUCGGUCUCUCCGACGCCGACAUCGCCGCUGCCGUCUCCUACGACCCCAAGCUUCUCUGCUCCGAGGUCGAGCGGACUCUGGCCCCGCGUCUCGUGGAGCUCCGGGACCUCGGCCUCUCUCCGUCCCAGAUCGCCCGCCUCGUCCUCGUCGACCCCGCGCGCUUCCGCCGCCCCACCGUCGUCUCCAAGCUGCAGUAUUACGUCCCCCUCUUCGGUUCCUUCGAGAACCUCAUCCAUGCUCUCAGGAGCAACGCCUACCUCCUCAGCUCCGACCUCGAGCGCGUGGUCAAGCCCAACGUCGCGUUCCUGAUGGAGUGCGGGCUAGAUGCUUGUGAUAUUGCCAAGCUGUCCAUACCCGUCCCUAGGCUGAUCACCACCAACCCAGAACGCGUCCGGGCAAUGGUCGAGCGAGCUGAAGCUGUCGGUGCGCCUCGUGGCACCGGGAUGUUUAGGCACGCACUGCUGGCUGUCGCGUUCCUCAGCGAGGAAAAGAUCAAAGCUAAGGUGGAGUUCUUGAAGACAACAUUUCAGUGGUCGGAUGCUGAGGUGGGCGUUGCGGUUUCCAAGCUGCCAUUGGUGCUCAAGCACUCCAAGGACAGGUUGCGCCGCAUGUCAGAGUUCCUGAUCACCAAGGUUGGGUUGGAGCCGGAGUACAUUGCUCACAGGCCUGCUCUGCUUACAUAUAGCUUGGAACGCCGCCUCAUGCCCCGGCACUAUGUUGUGAAUUACCUGAAGGAAAAUGGGUUAUUGGAGCAGGACCGGAGCUACUAUACUGCUGUCCAGGUGAGCGAGAAUGUCUUCAUGGAGAAGUUCAUACUCCCUUACAAGGAAGCUGCACCAAGCCUCGCCCUAGAUUAUGCUGCUGCUUGCAGAGGAGAGGUGCCUACCUUCAGAUUUCAAGAACCCAGCACCGGCUCAGCAAGUGUUUAAGCCUUCAGUGUGCAGCAGUGUUUUGACACUUAGCAGUGAGCUGGGCUUAAAGCAAAAAAUAGUUCAGCGAUUUGAAGUAUUAUGGAUACUCAAGCAACACAUCUUGAAGGAUGAAAGUAGCUACCGCUGUCUAUGGAUCAUUGCAUGGCUGGUCUAAAAGAGGACGAGAAGCAGUCCCUACUUGAGCAAUGCGCUUCGCAAGGGCAUCCAAAGGGAACGGGAGGCGCGCGCCGUCUAGCGGUCGGUCAAGCAGGUGCCCGUGGAUGCGCUGCGAGCGGAGACGCAGUCUUAAAAAGCGCCAUCGAGCUGGCCGGUUCCAAGACGGAGGACGAGGACGGUAACUUGUCAUAUGUUGACUUGGAGCGACAGUUUGGAAUGCUUCCUGUGACUCGCUUUGCCAGGCUAGGCAAGAAAAUGAACGUUUGGUUGUUUUGCCUGUUUCCUCGUUUCUUGUGUA